UGGGGAAUUUUGCACAAUGGGGGAAACCCUGAUGCAGCGACGCCGCGUGAUUUAGAAGGCCUUCGGGUUGUAAACAUCUUUUCUAUGGGAAGAAAAUGACAGUACCAUAGGAAUAAGGACCGGCUAAUUACGUGCCAGCAGCCGCGGUAAUACGUAAGGUCCGAGCGUUGUCCGGAAUCAUUGGGCGUAAAGGGUACGUAGGCGGGUAAGCAAGUUAGAAGUGAAAUCCUAUAGCUCAACUAUAGUAAGCUUUUAAAACUGCUCAUCUUGAGGUAUGGAAGGGAAAGUGGAAUUCCUAGUGUAGCGGUGAAAUGCGCAGAUAUUAGGAGGAGUACCGGUGGCGAAGGCGACUUUCUGGCCAUAACCUGACGCUGAGGUACGAAAGCGUGGGUAGCAAACAGG
rnacentral:rRNA from 1 species